CAGAAUAUGUUUGUAGAAUUCCUAGGAAACUUAACCUGUGUCUCGAAUAGAAGGCUUUUCUUGUUGGUUUUUUUAUAAUGUUAGAUUCAAUUUAUUUUUCCCAGAACCUUUGGACUGAUUUUAAUCGUCAAAGAGACAAUCAAUGUAAACACAAGAUAAAAUGGGAAUAAAUAAACAAAAAAAUGGAUAUGGAAUCAAUUUUGAAAGGCGAGAAAUUAAAGUAUUUAGGCGACUAUUGUUGGAACUAGUAUUUUGUUCGCCCGUUGGCCGAAUUCAUCGUAUAUUUUAUGUAGAAGUAUAUUACGAUGACCGUUGCAAUAUCUAUUACGUAUUUUUAAUGUUCGUUAUUAACAGUUUUCGAAAAACUCAUUUUGACCAAUUAAUGUUGAGCAUAAUUGAAAGUGAAAUCUUAAUUGCCGUUACAUUUGAAGGAGAAAAUGUUAUAUAAAAUAUUUGCGUUUGAUUGAUAAGUCAAAUACAAAAGUGAGUACAUUAUUACAUCAGUUUCAAUUUGUAUAAUUGUACCUUGAAGAUGACUACUCUUUUCCUUUUAUUCUCUUCUAACUACCGUUGAAGAUGAUUAUCCUUCAUCCCAAGUGAGAAGGCCUGUUAUCUACCCAGUGAUUCCAUUACUGAAGAUAAACAGAAGGAGCCGGAAAUCCCAGAAAUAAGGGCAUUCAUGAAGUCCAACUGCAAUAGGAAUAUAGAAUCCAGCAGAUGGCUGUUUGUGAGUCAACAACGAACUGUUAGUAACAUUAGCCAUGAAAAAUAACAGAUGGCUGCAGUAUUUAUUUACCUCUAUCUCCAUGCUUGGCUCAGUAUAAGGGUUGUAAGCAGGCUUGAUGCGUAAUCUCGACCUUCCUGAACAAAAUAUUUGAUCACAUUAGCCUCUAAUCAAAACUGGUUACGACUGUGUCAAUCAAGCACAAAGGGAGAAACAAUAUUGAUGAGAAGUUCAUCGGGCAACUGACUAAUCCAAUCCAAUCCUUUGCUGAUCAAGUUACAAACUUCAUCAACUAAUUUAGUUAUACAAUCAACUUAUUCUCCCUAAAAAAGCACAUAAAAGGAACACACUAACAAAUUAACCAAAGUUGAGAUCUUUACGGAUAUUGUUAACACUGACAAACUACAGAUUAGAGAGAUAUUUACUUAUUGAGCUGUACGAACAAAGUCGAACGGCGUCAUUGUCUGCACCGUCUCAUCUCCCUGCAUACAGAUUAUGAACAAAGUCACAUCUUUUUGCGGAAAAGCAAAGUAAAUUGGUAGAAACCUAUACGACAGCAAAGCUUAAACUUACUUCCUUCCAACAUAAAGGGAGUCAGAAGUCAUCCAGAAAUCGAUUUCUUCUCCUGGAAAAGAUCUGUGGAAAACUCUAGCAAAAGAAGAAGAUGAGUUUCGAGAGGUGAUGCUAGCCUAAAACACUAUCCAGAUCUUCAAAGGAUCUUCUCCGCAAGCUAUCAAACUCAAAAGGUCUCGCAGUCCCCAUAACCACAUAAACAACGGGCCUACUAUCUCGAACAUCAAACUCAGAAGAAUAAUCAGGCAGAAAAGGGGAAAUCUGGGCAAGCAAUAGGAAUGCCUCGACAUCAAGCUAUCAAGCUCGAAAGGUCUCGCAGUUCCAGUCGCCACACAAAAUAGACCAUAGCAACCUUUCUCUAUUCUCUCAAACUCUUUCCUAUCGAUCAAUCAAACUCUUGAAUGUUAUGAUUACUAUUAGGAAAAGCGAGAAGCAAAACGAACAGAAAAUAAUAAAAAACCGAAAACGACUCUCUAAUGUGAUAAGAGACAGAAGAAGAAAAGGCGGAGAAUCGUUUGUAUCGAAGAGGAAGAAGAAGGAGGAAGAAGAAGGAGGAAGCAGAUGAGAGGUCAUGGGGGAAGUAGUUUGAGGGGAAAUGAUUGAAUAAAAUAACAAAAUUAAUUUUUAUUUGAUAACUGAUAUUUGGAGAAACUGAGUUGUUAAGAAAACUUUACAAUUUAAAAUUGGUAUAUGAAAUAAAGUGAAUGCUCCUAAUAGAAUUUUAUAUAAAAUGCUUCGAUCAAUGAACGAACGAUUAUUUGUACGAGUCAAUCAAAAUCUAUUAUUU
rnacentral:lncRNA from 1 species